AUGUUUGGAAACGGAUUCUCAACCUUUUUGUGUAGAAAAAUUGAAGAACAGUGGUGGUUGGGCGGUAUCCGGUGCGGUGGAAGAGUAUCCCGAUGGCGAAAGAUUUUUUCUGGAGGGUCUCGAUGGAAGUUUCCGGUGAAGCUCGAGUUCCGGUCAGGGUGGAAGGUGCGGUUUAAAGGACCUAGGAGUGGCAAAACAUCCGGUCAUAUGAGGUUUUCCAUUGAGAAGUCCGUUUCCGGCGAGUUGAGAAGCAUGGGCGCUAUGGUUUACCAACUUUGUGAAAUGGUCUUGGCUAUUUUGAAUUUGAAUGCUCUUGAAUUGGAAACUUGGCUCAUUUGA